rnacentral:rRNA from 1 species
UACGUAGGGUGCGAGCGUUAAUCGGAAUUACUGGGCGUAAAGCGUGCGCAGGCGGUGCUGUAAGACCGAUGUGAAAUCCCCGGGCUUAACCUGGGAACUGCAUUGGUGACUGCAGCGCUGGAGUAUGGCAGAGGGGGGUGGAAUUCCACGUGUAGCAGUGAAAUGCGUAGAGAUGUGUAGGAACACCGAUGGCGAAGGCAGCCCCCUGGGCCAAUACUGACGCUCAUGCACGAAAGCGUGGGGAGCAAACAGG